CUACGGGCCGCUGCAGUUAGGAAUCUUCCCCAAUGGGCGCAAGCCUGAGGGAGCGACACUGCAUGAAGGAUGAAGGUUUUCGGAUUGUAAACUUCUGAACUAGGGACGAAUAAUGACGGUACCUAGGUAAUAGCACCGGCUAACUCUGUGCCAGCAGCCGCGGUAAUACAGAGGGUGCGAGCGUUAUCCGGAAUUACUGGGCGUAAAGGGCGUGUAGGUGGUUUGUUAAGUUCGAUGUUAAAGCGUGAGGCUCAACCUCAUACUGGCGUUGAAUACUGGCAAGCUAGACGACUGGAGAGGAAAGCAGAAUUACCAGUGUAGCGGUGAAAUGCGUAGAUACUGGUAGGAAUACCCAUUGCGAAGGCAGCUUUCUGGACAGUUUGUGACACUCAGACGCGAAAGUGUGGGGAGCAAACCGGAUUAGAUACCCCCGUAGUC
rnacentral:rRNA from 1 species